UGGUUAAGUGGGAAACGAUGUGGGAAGGCCCAGACAGCCAGGAUGUUGGCUUAGAAGCAGCCAUCAUUUAAAGAAAGCGUAAUAGCUCACUGGUCGAGUCGGCCUGCGCGGAAGAUGUAACGGGGCUAAACCAUGCACCGAAGCUGCGGCAGCGACGCUUAUGCGUUGUUGGGUAGGGGAGCGUUCUGUAAGCCUGUGAAGGUGUGCUGUGAGGCAUGCUGGAGGUAUCAGAAGUGCGAAUGCUGACAUAAGUAACGAUAAAGCGGGUGAAAAGCCCGCUCGCCGGAAGACCAAGGGUUCCUGUCCAACGUUAAUCGGGGCAGGGGGAGUCGACCCCUAAGGCGAGGCCGAAAGGCGUAGUCGAUGGGAAACAGGUUAAUAUUCCUGUACUUGGUGUUACUGCGAAGGGGGGACGGAGAAGGCUAUGUUGGCCGGGCGACGGUUGUCCCGGUUUAAGCGUGUAGGCUGGUUUUCCAGGCAAAUCCGGAAAAUCAAAGCUGAGGCGUGAUGACGAGGCACUACGGUGCUGAAGCAACAAAUGCCCUGCUUCCAGGAAAAGCCUCUAAGCAUCAGGUAACAUCAAAUCGUACCCCAAACCGACACAGGUGGUCAGGUAGAGAAUACCAAGGCGCUUGAGAGAACUCGGGUGAAGGAACUAGGCAAAAUGGUGCCGUAACUUCGGGAGAAGGCACGCUGAUAUGUAGGUGAAGUCCCUUGCGGAUGGAGCUGAAAUCAGUCGAAGAUACCAGCUGGCUGCAACUGUUUAUUAAAAACACAGCACUGUGCAAACACGAAAGUGGACGUAUACGGUGUGACGCCUGCCCGGUGCCGGAAGGUUAAUUGAUGGGGUCAGCGCAAGCGAAGCUCUUGAUCGAAGCCCCGGUAAACGGCGGCCGUAACUAUAAC
rnacentral:rRNA from 1 species